ensembl:snRNA U5 U5 spliceosomal RNA
AUACUCUGGUUUCUCUUCAGAUCAUAUAAAUCUCUCAACUUUUACUAAAGAUUUCUUUGGAGAGGAAUAAUUCUAAGUCUUAACCCAAUUUUUGGGGCCCUGCAUCUGCUAGUAAGAA